rnacentral:lncRNA from 1 species
UGGGCUAUAAUAGUAGAAAGGAAAGUAAGGCACAAUUGGGUUAGGAGGAGGGGGUGUAGGGUAGUUCUUAUAGUUUGGUGGAGGAUAGUAAUAGUAACUGUGGCCGCCUCCUCCUCCUCCACCCUGUGGUGGUGGUGGAGAGGAGUAGGUGUAAGUGGAAGGUGGCAGGGGAGAGUAGUAGUAAGAGCCCGAUGAAGUGGGUGGAGAAGGUGGGGGUGGGCAGUUAUAGGUGGAUGAUGGUGGUGGUGGAGAGGGUGAGGGCGGUGGAGGCGGAGAUGGCACUGGGUUGCAACAUGAGGAGCACAUUGUGCAUGCGAUCUCAUAGAGUGUUCUUGAUUUUGGAAUGGGCAAGGGAUUGGUGGAAGGUAGCAUGAGGAGGAGAGCUAGCAGAGAGAAACUGAUGAUGUG